CGCAAACCCGGAAGAAGCCGUUGGUCGCCGAGGAUCGCCGCUUCGGAGCCGGUCCAGUCAGAAGCGCAGCGACUGAUCGCGAGGUGAGCUAUAGCACACGGUGUGAAACUGGCAACCUGAGAGAUGUAUCUGAAGCUGGGUUUGUCUGGGUGAAGCCUUCCAGCCCUUCAGGAGUUUGAGAAUACCUGGGCCCAGCAUGAGGAUGAAGCUAGGAUCAUGUAAGUAAGCAUGGAGUGAGGAACAGUAGAGGAGAGACUACUGGAAGAUCUGUCAACAGUGGUUCAGCCCAGUUCCAUGACUAGUGGGACAGGGGGACUCACAGACCCACACCUCGUGAAAGGGAAAGGGAAAAAGGGGAAAAGGUAGGGAGAUGGACCUAAAAACAGAACAGCAGCAAUGAUCU